GACGAACGCUGGCGGCGUGCUUAACACAUGCAAGUCGAACGGAAAGGCCCUGCUUUUGUGGGGUGCUCGAGUGGCGAACGGGUGAGUAACACGUGAGUAACCUGCCCUUGACUUUGGGAUAACUUCAGGAAACUGGGGCUAAUACCGGAUAGGAGCUCCUGCUGCAUGGUGGGGGUUGGAAAGUUUCGGCGGUUGGGGAUGGACUCGCGGCUUAUCAGCUUGUUGGUGGGGUAGUGGCUUACCAAGGCUUUGACGGGUAGCCGGCCUGAGAGGGUGACCGGCCACAUUGGGACUGAGAUACGGCCCAGACUACUACGGGAGGCAGCAGUGGGGAAUAUUGCACAAUGGGCUGAAGCCUGAUGCAGCAACGCCGCGUGCGGGAUGACGGCCUUCGGGUUGUAAACCGCUUUCGCCUGUGACGAAGCGUGAGUGACGGUAAUGGGUAAAGAAGCACCGGCUAACUACGUG
rnacentral:rRNA from 1 species